AUGUGGAAACAACUCUUGUCAAAAAGAAGAAACAUCCGGUGCUAUGGCUGUUACCUACCUCUAGGUGUGAGCCAUCAUCGUCAGUGCCAAAGAUGGUUACUAGUAAUGUUGAUUGAUGCUGCAGUGUUACAUCACCACCUUGAUGAUGGGCGUGGGGGUGGUGAUGUCCUGGUUCGCUUUCACCACACUCUUCAAGGUGUCACCCAGAACUGGCUGAAGCAAUAUCGGUUUCACCAAGGUCUGCAAUUUGCUCUGUCGGAAGGCUACCGACGAGUAGUGAUUUUGGCUGGUGAACAAGCUACAGGCUGCAGCUAG
rnacentral:rRNA from 1 species